ACGAGCCGCCUUCCUGGGCUGAGCCCCACUGCUCUGCUUCUGCUUUGCUCCCUGGGUGCCCCCAGCAGGCCCCGCAUGCCUGACCCAGCACCACUCCACUUCUUGCCCCGUGAGAGUGCAGCUACAGUUAGUGAAGCAAACAGUUUGAGAGAGCAGAGUCCAGCUGGAGCACAGAAGAGGUGGGGUGGAGGCCGGCGCUAGAAGGACACCGCGUCACUGAAGGUUUCCCAGGUGGUACGCCCAAGUCCCGCAGUGCUGCGCUCCGUGUAUUUGACAAGCUGAGUUUGACACUCAAUGUGGCAGAGUGUCAGUUUGUCAAAUACCCCAAGUGAGGCAUUUGCUUAGCAACACACAUCAGCACCAGAGAAGAUUGAUUAUUGCAUCUGACUGGGACGGGAGUCUUUUGUUUAAUAUUUUCUCUCCACUGAAAAUACGAAGUGCUAUCUAAUAACUGCAUACUAUGCUUUGCUUCCUGUGCUAGCAGAUUUCCUUAGUGCCCCAAAUUCAGAAGCAUCUGUUUGAACAUGCAUUUGAAUGGUGAGUUUCUACAGAAAUAGGGCCAAAUUUUUGCUGGCACACUUCCACUGAGUUACACAAGCCGAGAAUUUUGCCCAGAAUUACGUAUUUCUUCAGUCUGUAGCCAAAGUCAAUGCUAGUAACUAAAGUAAUGGUGGCAACUAGUAGGUGAUAAGUUGAGUUGUUGCGUGACAAUGGUUUAGUAUAUUCAUCUAAGCUAAAGGUUAAGGCAGUUGUGAUCCCACUUACAACAGCACUGCCAAUAACAGAGAAUUUCUUCAUCAGAUGUGUUGAAAUAUUUUUGUAUAAUCAUAGAAGAUGGAGAAGAAAUAGACUUAUAGGACCGUUAUUUCAUUUCCCCUCUUCUCCACCAGCCAAUAUAAGGUUAUUCCCUGCAGUGAAUUCUCCUGUGGUUUGAUUAGUCCAAUUUUAAAUGACUCAAGCGAAGGAGUUUCAUCACUUUGCUUGGAAGUCCUAGUAAAAUAAAUCUCAGGUUUAGGAGAAGCCUCCUUCUCUUCAGCCAGUUACUCCCAGUAAGAUCUCCUAGCAGUGUUACCUAUUAUAUUUGGUUUCAGAGUAAUAGCCGUGUUAGUCGGUAUUCGCAAAAAGAAAAGGAGUACUUGUGGCACCUUAGAGAGUAACCAAUUUAUUUGAGCAUAAGCUUUCGUGAGCUACAGCUCACUUCUGAGCUGUAGCUCACGAAAGCUUAUGCUCAAAUAAAUUGGUUACUCUCUAAGGUGCCACAAGUACUCCUUUUCUUUUUGCUAUUAUAUUUGCUGUACCUCUGCUAUUGUAUUGAAGCUAUACUAAGCCAGCUCAGAUGAAGAAGACCUAUUUAUUGGCCUACAUUUUCAAAAGUAACCUGUGAUUUUGUGAUUUAGCCCACGAACGCUUAUGCCCAAAUAAAUUUGUUAGUCUCUAAGGUGCCACAAAUACUCCUCGUAUUUUUUGCUGAUACAGUCUAACACGGCUACCACUCUGAAACUUGUGAUUUUGGGUGAGACAUCAUAAAGAGGUCUGAUUUUCAGAGGUUGAGGUGCUCCACAUAUUUAGAAAAAUCAGGUCCCUUUAUGGUGUCUCCAGUUGGACACUCAAAAACUGAGCCAGAACCCAAAAUCCCUUUUGAAAAUUCAGGCCAUUGUUACUUUGCUAGUGUAAAGGGCUUGUCAGAAAACCCUUCUCACUGUUACUGGAGCAGUAUCAGCAGCCAAUUGUGCAAUUAAGUUAUAUAUAUAUAUAUAUAUAUAUAUAUGAUACAGAUUUCAUCCUCAACUCUCCUUUUUUCUUUAGAUUACAACCACUUAUUGUAAAAUGUUCUGGAGAUGCUCGGCUUUGUAUGAAGAAUGCUAUCUGUAAAUAAAUGGUAUUGCCUUUCUAAGUGAAUAGCAUGCUUCUGAUCAUCCACAUAAUAGAUCUGCAGUGUGCACCUAUAUGAGCAAACAUGGCCGUAGUCAUUCUGACUCAAACUGUCCCUCCUGUGUUCUCUUUCCAGUCCCUAAAGUUGAUUCAUAGUCUAGACAGUACUCUCACCUUAAUUGUUUUUAUCUGUGCAUUCAGUUUUAAAAGAGUACAAGGUCCAUUGUUCUAUCUGACUUUCCAUCUCUGAUAAUCCAUAGUGUAACUGAGGCAUAUAUUAUCCCUAAACCCUUUCUGUCUCUGGUCAGAAGCCAUUGGGUCAGAUCCUCAGCUCUUGUAAAUGGGCCUGCUCCAGCCACGUCAAUGGAGCUACACCUUUUGACACCAGCUGAAGACACAUCUCAGGGUCCAUUUUAAGUCCCUCACAUCCUCUUUUUCCAGUAGUUUACCUCAGUCUUUAUUCUUACUACUUUGUCUCUCCCCUCCUCUUCUGAAAUGUCUAGGAGCAGAUCCUUCAGUUUCUUCCAGGCCCAGGGAGGAAGCAAGGUUAAUCUCUCCAUCUUCGACAAACCCUGAAGGAAGAGAAUUAACCCCUCAUUUUGGUGGAACAAAUCCUGCUGUUUCUGGGGGUGCAUCUUUCCUUUCAAUUCCCAUCAAGAUCUGCAGCUUCUCACCACCUCUGAAAAUCAGGAUCAGGACAGACACAAAAAAGCCAGUGCACCCAAAUUAGCAAACCCCCUCUGAAAAUACUGGCUUAAAUGUCUGCACAUCACCCCCACUUUGCCUCAUAGUUCUCUGACAGACCCAUGAAUAUAGUCUGCCCUGAAUCCCACCCUUGCAGUGGGACUGAUAUCAAGUCAAUGGUGUUGCCCAGAUGCAACCAAAGGCAGAAUUUGGUUCAUGACACUUUAACUGCUGCUGCCAAGUAUUGUGUGUCUUGUACACAGUGCAGUUUCACAGAGGAAGCUGCGGUUUUUCUCUCCACUUUGGCUCAGAUUCUGGAGUUGACUGUAUUAAUUAGAUCAUCAGGUGAGUGAUCAGUGCAAAGAAAGGAGAAGUUCCCCCAUUAUCUGGAGAGACACCCCUCCCCGCCCAGCCACUUCCCCUCUGCAAAGCCUUCUGACUUUCAAGGGAAAACGUCCUUUGUUCUGGCUGGCUUCUCCCUCCCAGAAAUCACAUGCCCACUGCAUAGAGGGAAGCAACAGUACAGGGCCAGAAAGGAAGCUGAUUGGUGCUUUUGGGGACCAAAGCAUAGGCUAAGGGCACCCCUGGGACUGCUGGAAUAUGUGGCAGCCAGGGACAAUCAGAGCACAGAUCCACUCCAGCCAUGCCUGCUCUGGGCCUGUCUCAGCCCCGCUUCAGCUUCUUCCUCCGCUCUGCUCCCGCCCCAUCCUUUGCACCAUGGCUUCUGCAGAGGCAGCACAGAGCUGAUGCUUUUUACUGGGGGGAAUCAAAACUGUGGGCUGCAUGGUUACCGAGGAAGCACGGGCAGGCCCCGAGAGCUAUUAAACAAUAAGAGGUUUAUUUCUUUGCGAGUGGCACAGAACUACACCCUGGCACAGCAAGCAGAGAUUGUCCCCCUUAGCUGCAAUACUGUUUAAAUGGAAUCAGACCCUUCCAAUUGCUUCAACCCUCAUAAGGGAUGUGCAAACUGCCCUACUGGAACAGAACCGUGAGCUGUUUAGUCCAUUACUCUGUCUCUGAUGGUGGCCAGAAACUUUAGAGGCGGUGUUAGCACCCACAGUACUGUUCCAGGGAAAGUGGGAGAAAAGAUAUUUCUUCCUGUCCCUGCCUGUUGAUCAAUUAAUGCCCUGACACAUGAGGACUGACAGCCCCAGAAACAUUGCACUUGCUGUCACCACCGCAGAUGCUAUUGUUAGCUAUAAAAGCACCUAAGGCACUUGUUUCACAUAAGAGUAGCACAUAAGUAAUGUCAAGCCACAGGCUAGUGUGGGAGGCAGGAUGGAAGGGGGCAGAGUCUGAAGCACCUUCAUGUGCUCAGGCAGAUUGCUGGUGAGCAGCUCAGAGUGUAAAGCCGAGUAAACAAACAGAAGAGACACAGAGACAAAGCGAUUGAGUCAAGAGCGUAAUGCAGGAAGCAGCACAUCUGGCUAGGAUCUCAUUUCCCAUUCUGAGCUUCCUCUUUUUUUCCUAUCACAGGCUAGCAAAUGACUCUACUCCUUUCUCCGAAAACCUCCUCUUACUCAAUCUGUCCUGCAAAACCUACCCCCUGCGUUGCCUCAUCUUUUAUGGCCUCACCCCACCAAGCCCAGCUGAAGUUGAUUGCAGCACAACCCUACUGCAGCAUUUAAGCCCUUCCCUGCCUGAGCAGAUGAGGCAGAAAGGGGAGGCGAGGGUAACACAGACUGACUGAUGAUCCAGGUCUCUUUAUUAACCCUUAGAAAAUUGCCCAUUUCCCAGGUACACAGCCCAUGAAUGACAGAUAAGCCAAGUUGUGCAGACCAGAUCCACGCUCCAAUCAGAAGUAGAAGAUCCCCAGUGAGCUCUGGGGUGUGCAGAACUGGGGUUCUGAGUUGGCGAGGUGUAGGGAUGGGCCUGGGUCACAAAGGACCUGAAUUGUCCAUAAAUUUGUGACAAAAGUUGGGGUUGGGCAGGUUGGAUUUGGUGUUCUAGUCCAUCUGUACUGAGAGCUGACUGUUUCCACGGGCAUUUCUGUGGCCAGGCUGGGGAAUUAGUGGGGAAACGUUUCUGAUAGUUGUGCAGUGGGGGAGAACAGCAGCCCAAGAGGGAAAGAUAUUGCUUUGGUACAGAGGAAGCUUUGCUAGGUAGUGAUGCAGUCUAGCAACUCACCAGUGCCAUCCAUAGCUUGUCUCCUCUCUGUAUCCCCCACAAGUGACCUUGCAGCUAAUUGACCCAUGAAAGCAGGCAAAGCAAUAGGGCCUGUUUGUUGCAAGAAGCAGUAAGGCAUCAUAGGGACGACCCAGAGGAGCUGGAAGCAGAUAUAGUAAAUAGGUGAGCCUCUUGGGGAUACAGUGUUACCAACUCUCAUGACUCUCAUUGGUGUCUUUCUUAAAGAUCCAGCUUCUGGAGUCAAGUAAUUGCAUGAGAAUCUCAGCUUUCAUUUUUUUAAAAAGAGUAAGUUUCUAGUCCUCAUGGUUACAGAGAAACCUUGAACACUUGAACCCUAAAGGUUCAAAAGGCAGACAACACAUAAAAGGAACUCAAAAUAUAUUAUUUUAAAAAAAUCUCAUGUUUUUAAGAUGGUCUGAUUUUUGGGGCCUGACAUAAUUAUUGAAUGCUUGGGUUUGGUAAUACUGGGAUACAGCAAAUCAAACAUAAGGAGCAGCUUUGCAGAAUCAGCACCGGCUGGCACAGUUUGGUUACAACAUCUAAGGUUCAAGCAUAGUAAUUGCACACACAGGGCAAUUGGAUCCUAGCACAUUUUUAGAGGGCUCUUCUCACUCACAGAGUCUUUGGAGUGCAAAGAGGCCUUGGGACUGAAUGAGGAGCACAUUGUAUGUUGACUGAAGUUGAAAGAAGUCAAGCAAAUAAAGUGGAGUCUUUAUUCUAGCCACAUAAAUGUAUAUUUGAGCUACUGCCCUAGCAGAGAAAGACUCCAUAUCCCACUCGGACACUUUGACAUGUAUUUGGUAGUAGUCUGUUGUGAUUAUUUAACAUACUUAGGUUUUGAAUAAUAAAAGCAACAUGAACAGGCCUUGUCCUUUGGCAGUAGUCGCACUUCUGUCUGCCAAUAGCAAUGCCCAUUGGGAGUUCUGAUUGAGAAACAGAGGAUGGUGUGACUGCCCUCUUUAGGGAUGAAUAGGUAAUGUUCUAUCACUCUUGGGCCUUUCUGCUGGCACUAUCAAUUCAUUUAUUUACCAUAUUCAUUUCUAAGGCACUGAUCAGCAUAGUAUCUGGGCACAAUUCACAUAAUUUAGUUAAGUUGAUGUAACACUUCCAAGUGUAUUUUUCCUCUGCUCGCCCCUUCAUCCAUUGUUCUUGAGAUUGUCAGUUGUGUUGCUGAAUUUUGUGAUGUCCCCCUGGAUUUAAACCAGUGUCCUUGAAGUGAAAAGCUCUUUACUCGCACUGCCAAUUCCCUGCAUCACUCAUGCCCCUUUAAUGUCAUUUUUAUAAGGGUGAUGAAGGAGGCACUUGUUCAAACUUCCAGGUCAAGAUUAGAUGUAUGGCGAAACAGGGACUCCUAGUGGCCUGGACAACAAAAGGUACUUCAGGGAGAAAUAAUAUAAAGCCUCGUCCCAGUCCCAUCUGUCCCCACUUUUCCUCCCAGGUUCUAUCUACCUGACUGGUGUAAACCAGGACCCAAAGAGCAGCGCCAGGUAGGAUUCAAAUCAGGGGUUACUAAAAUAAGAGAGACGACCUCCACUGACAUGUAGAACAUCCUCCAUUUGUCUUAUGGAAGGAACCCCAUUCAGAAUGGGUGAGAAAUAAUUGAUUUGGAAAGGAAAGUGGAAGGGAAGUGAGGGGGAGGAUGUUACUGGAGAUAAGCCUUGGGCUUCUCAGCUAGUUGAAAAUUUUCCAUCGAAGUUUUUCUCAGGGGAAACAAAAUAUUUGCAUUAUUUUUUCAUUCAGGUUGCGGUUUUUGUUUUCUAAUGAAAAAAUUAGAAAUAAAAUAUUUAAAUUUUUUCUUUUUUUAAAAAAAGUUUUGUUUUGAGGGGUAAUAGUCAUUUUCUCUCACUUCCUGACUUUUUUCCAUUGGAAAGUGGGAGGAGUGUGGGUGGGGAAUGAGAAAAAAAAUA